AUGCAAAUGGAAGCCAGAGGAAAAGGGAACCCUUGACACAGUUUUCAUAUAGAUUGGCCUCCAGAGCAGACAGCAGGAGGGGGGUUUAAUCUGGACUGAAUUGGAGGAAAGGAACUGGCACCAGAGUGGAGGCUGGAAGGAUGGUGGAACUGACACUGGGACAGAACACAGAAAACAGAAUCUAAUGCUAUUGCUCUGGCUAUAUCAAAUAAAAGUGUCAAGAGUGAGCAUCCUUGCCUUGUGCUGAAUCACAAAGGAAUACCUUUCAGUUUUUCUCCAUUGAUUAUGAUAGCAGUGGGCUUUUCACAGUGGGCUUUAUUGUGUUGAGGUACCCUAAUGACAAGUUCACCCCAGUGUUUUCUGAGGAGUCUACCUGGAAAUGAGAACCAUCUGUCCUUCCUAUAGUAGUUCUUCUCAGAAUGCCGACUCUAUGCUAAUGGUGA
rnacentral:lncRNA from 1 species